GGAAGCGGCGCCAUUGGAGCGGCCAGGGAUUGCGGAGAGCGAUCCAUUCCCAACCACCCCAAAACGGGUGAAAAAACGAAAAAAAAAAAAAAAAA